GGCGGACGGGUGAGUAACGCGUGGGUAACCUGCCUCAUACAGGGGGAUAACAGUUAGAAAUGACUGCUAAUACCGCAUAAGACCACAAAGCCGCAUGGCUUAGUGGGAAAAACUCCGGUGGUAUGAGAUGGACCCGCGUCUGAUUAGCUUGUUGGCGGGGUAACGGCCCACCAAGGCGACGAUCAGUAGGGGUUCUGAGAGGAAGGUCCCCCACAUUGGAACUGAGACACGGUCCAAACUCCUACGGGAGGCAGCAGUGAGGAAUAUUGGUCAAUGGGCGAGAGCCUGAACCAGCCAAGUAGCGUGCAGGAAGACGGCCCUAUGGGUUGUAAACUGCUUUUAUAAGGGAAUAAAGUGAGUCUCGUGAGACUUUUUGCAUGUACCUUAUGAAUAAGGACCGGCUAAUUCCGUGCCAGCAGCCGCGGUAAUACGGAAGGUCCGGGCGUUAUCCGGAUUUAUUGGGUUUAAAGGGAGCGUAGGCCGGAGAUUAAGCGUGUUGUGAAAUGUAGUGGCUCAACCUCUGCACUGCAGCGCGAACUGGUCUUCUUGAGUACGCACAACGUGGGCGGAAUUCGUGGUGUAGCGGUGAAAUGCUUAGAUAUCACGAAGAACUCCGAUUGCGAAGGCAGCUCACGGGAGCGCAACUGACGCUGAAGCUCGAAAGUGCGGGUAUCGAACAGGAUUAGAUACCCUGGUAGUCCGCACGGUAAACGAUGGAUGCCCGCUGUUGGCCUGAAUAGGUCAGCGGCCAAGCGAAAGCAUUAAGCAUCCCACCUGGGGAGUACGCCGGCAACGGUGAAACUCAAAGGAAUUGACGGGGGCCCGCACAAGCGGAGGAACAUGUGGUUUAAUUCGAUGAUACGCGAGGGACCUUACCCGGGCUUGAAUUGCAGAGGAAGGAUUUGGAGACAAUGACGCCCUUCGGGGUCUCUGUGAAGGUGCUGCAUGGUUGUCGUCAGCUCGUGCCGUGAGGUGUCGGCUUAAGUGCCAUAACGAGCGCAACCCCUCUCCUUAGUUGCCAUCAGUUUAAGCUGGGCACUCUGGGGACACUGCCACCGUAAGGUGUGAGGAAGGUGGGGAUGACGUCAAAUCAUCAUGCCCCUUAUGGCCUGGGCUACACACGUACUACAAUGGCGUCUACAAAGAGCGGCAAGCCUGUGAAGGCAAGCGAAUCUCAUAAAGGACGUCUCAGUUCGGAUUGAAGUCUGCAACCCGACUUCAUGAAGCUGGAAUCGCUAGUAAUCGCGAAUCAGCAUGUCGCGGUGAAUACGUUCUCGGGCCUUGCACUCACCGCCCGUCAAG
rnacentral:rRNA from 1 species